AGUGUAGGCGGCUAUCUAAGUCGGAUGUGAAAGUCCCGGGCUCAACCUGGGAAUUGCAUUCGAAACUGAAUAGCUAGAGUUUGGUAGAGGUAAGUGGAAUUCCGGGUGUAGCGGUGAAAUGCGUAGAUAUCCGGAGGAACAUCAGUGGCGAAGGCGGCUUACUGGACCAAAACUGACGCUGAGGCUCGAAAGCGUGGGGAGCAAACAGGAUUAGAUACCCUGGUAGUCC
rnacentral:rRNA from 1 species